rnacentral:lncRNA from 1 species
AAAAUGUCCUAAUAUAUUCCCUUUAAAAAAAUAUAUUACUUUUUUUUUAAACAUCCUCGCAAGGAAAAAUCCCUGACAGAGUCACCCAAAACACAACACAAUUUUAGCAACAUUAACAUUAGACAGUAUACUAGGGUUUCUCUUUCAGGAUAUUGGUUACUGUUCCAGAAAUUCCCCGGAAACUUAAUUAUUUCUUAAAGUAAUUAACAAAAAGUGGUAUACAUAUUGAAGAUGAACUUGAGAUCAACUUUUGGACAAUUCAUCCCAAAUAAACAAAAA